rnacentral:rRNA from 1 species
CGGGCGGUCUCAGAUUAGCCAUGCAUGUCUAAGUAUAAGCAAAUCUAUACUGUGAAACUGCGAACGGCUCAUUAAAUCAGUUAUAGUUUAUUUGAUGGUACCUUACUACAUGGAUAACUGUGGUAAUUCUAGAGCUAAUACAUGCCGAAAAGCCCUUUCACGAGGGUGUAUUUAUUAGAUUAAAGACCGUUGAGCUUCGGCUCAUUUGGUGAAUCAUGAUAACUGCUCGAAUCGCAUGGCCUUGCGCCGGCGAUGCUUCAUUCAAAUACCUGCCCUAUCAACUUUCGAUGGUAGGAUAGAGGCCUACCAUGGUUGCGACGGGUAACGGGGAAUAAGGGUUCGAUUCCGGAGAGAGAGCCUGAGAAACGGCUCUCAUGACUAAGGUCAGCAGCAGGCGCGCAAAUUAUCCACUCGCAAUACGCGGAGAUAGUGACAAUAAAUAACAAUAGAGGGCUCUUUUGGGUCUUCUAAUUGGAAUGAGUACAAUCUAAAUCCCUUAACGAGGAUCAAUUGGAGGGCAAGUCUGGUGCCAGCAGCCGCGGUAAUUCCAGCUCCAAUAGCGUAUAUUAAAUUUGUUGAUGUUAAAAAGCUCGUAGUCGAACUUCGGCCGCCCGUCAGCCGGUCCGCUCUCUGAGUGUGUACUGGACCUGAUGGCGGCUUAACCUCCUGGUGAACAAGCAUGCACUUUAUUGGGUGUGCUUGGGAACCCGGACUUUUACUUUGAAUAAAUCAGAGUGUUCAAAGCAGGCAUGUUUGCCCGAAUGUUACAGCAUGGAAUAAUAGAAUAAGACGUGUGUCUCUAUUGGUCUUUUAGAGGCACCGUAAUGAUAAAUAGGGGCGGUUGGGGGCAUUUGUAUUCAAUUGCUAGAGGUGAAAUUCUUGGAUUUAUUGAAGACAAACUACUGCGAAAGCAUUUGCCAAGGACGCUUUCAUUGAUCAAGAACGAAGGUCGGGGGAUCGAAAACGAUUAGAUACCGUUGUAGUCUCGACAGUAAACGAUGCCGACCGGGGAUCGGUCAGGGUAUUAUUUUAUGACCUGAUCGGCACCCGAAGAGAAAUCUUGAGUAAGGUUCAUGGGGGAGUACGGUCGCAAGGCUGAAACUUAAAGGAAUUGACGGAAGGGCACCACCAGGAGUGGAGCCUGCGGCUUAAUUUGACUCAACACGGGGAAACUCACCAGGUCCAGACACAAAAAGGAUUGACAGAUUGAUAGCUCUUUCUUGAUCUUGUGGUUGGUGGUGCAUGGCCGUUCUUAGUUGGUGGAGUGAUUUGUCUGCUUAAUUGCGAUAACGAACGAGACCUUAACCUGCUAAAUAGCCCGGUUGGCUUUGGCUGACCGUUGGCUUCUUAGAGGGACUAUCGACGUUUAGUCGAUGGAAGUUUGAGGCAAUAACAGGUCUGUGAUGCCCUUAGAUGUUCUGGGCCGCACGCGCGCUACACUGACAGAGCCAGCGAGUAACUUUUUCCUUGGCCGGAAGGCCUGGGUAAUCUUGUGAAACUCUGUCGUGAUGGGGAUAGAGCAUUGCAAUUAUUGCUCUUCAACGAGGAAUUCCUAGUAAGCGUGAGUCAUCAGCUCGCGUUGAUUACGUCCCUGCCCUUUGUACACACCGCCCGUCGCUACUACCGAUUGAAUGGCUUAGUGAGGCCUCCGGACUGGCGCUUGGGAGCCGGCAACGGCACCCGAAUGCUGGGAAGUUGAACGAACUUGGUCAUUUAGAGGAAGUAAAAGUCGUAACAAGGUUUCCGUAGGUGAACCUGCGGAAGGAUCAUUAGUGAAUUAGGGUGACCCUUUGUCAUAAAGGGAACCCGAAAUCUACACUUUUUUUCAUACACCUGUGCAUUUGACCCUUUUUUUUUUUACCUUAACACUUGUGUUUAUACGAAAGUCUCUUGAUGAACCUAUGAUAACGAAAGUAAAACUUUCAGCAAUGGAUCUCUUGGCUCUCGCAUCGAUGAAGAACGCAGCGAAACGCGAAAUGUAAUGUGAAUUGCAGAAUUCAGUGAAUCAUCGAAUCUUUGAACGCACCUUGCGCUCUUGGGUUAUUCCUAAGAGCAUGCUUGUUUGAGUGUCGCAAACUUCUCAACCCCACUGAAAGUUAAGUCUUUUGGUAGUCUGGGAUUGGAUCAUGGCAAUUGUUGGCUCUUUUAUGAAUCAACUCUGCUGAAAAGUAACAAGCUACAGUCAAAGUACUUUUGCGGCUUGAGCUAUCGUUGUAGAACUUUUCGAUAGUAACGCGAAAGAUGUUUGUGCAUAAGCUUUUCAAUUUUAAGAAAACCUGCCUACUUGUUCAAUAGACAGUGCAUUUUGACCUCAAAUCAAGUAGGACUACCCGCUGAACUUAAGCAUAUCAAUAAGCGGAGGAAAAGAAACUAACAAGGAUUCCCCUAGUAACGGCGAGUGAAGUGGGAAAAGCUCAAUUUUGUAAUCUGGCUGUUUCACAGUCCGAGUUGUAGUCUCGAGAAGCAUUAUCCGCGCCGGACCUUGGCCAUGUCUGUUGGAAUACAGUGUCAAAGAGGGUGAGAAUCCCGUACAUACCAAGGACGCCCGUGUGCAUUGUGAUACGCUUUCAAAGAGUCGAGUUGUUUGGGAAUGCAGCUCAAAUCGGGUGGUAAAUUCCAUCUAAAGCUAAAUAUUGGCGAGAGACCGAUAGCGAACAAGUACCGUGAGGGAAAGAUGAAAAGCACUUUGGAAAGAGAAUGAAACAGUAUGUGAAAUUGCUGGAAGGGAAACGUUUGAAGUUAGACUUGCAUUGGCGGUAUUCAGCCUUCGGGUGUAUUUGCCGCUUGUCGCAGGCCAGCAUCGGUUUAGGCCGUUGUAAAAGGGUGUUUGGAACGUAGCUAGCCUUCGGGUUAGUGUUAUAGCCUUUCACUGGAUGCAAAGACCUAGACCGAGGAACGCAGCGCGCCAGUAUGGCAAAGCUUCAAGCUUAGAGCGCUA